rnacentral:rRNA from 1 species
UACAGAGGGGGCAAGCGUUGUUCGGAAUUACUGGGCGUAAAGGGCGCGUAGGCGGCCUUCUAAGUCGAACGUGAAAUCCCUGGGCUCAACCCAGGAACUGCGUCCGAUACUGGAAGGCUUGAAUCCGGGAGAGGGAUGCGGAAUUCCAGGUGUAGCGGUGAAAUGCGUAGAUAUCUGGAGGAACACCGGUGGCGAAGGCGGCAUCCUGGACCGGUAUUGACGCUGAGGCGCGAAAGCCAGGGGAGCAACGGG